rnacentral:rRNA from 1 species
UACGUAGGGUGCAAGCGUUGUCCGGAAUUAUUGGGCGUAAAGAGCUUGUAGGCGGUUUGUCGCGUCUGCUGUGAAAUUUCGGGGCUUAACCCCGAACUUGCAGUGGGUACGGGCAGACUAGAGUGUGGUAGGGGAGACUGGAAUUCCUGGUGUAGCGGUGAAAUGCGCAGAUAUCAGGAGGAACACCGAUGGCGAAGGCAGGUCUCUGGGCCAUAACUGACGCUGAGAAGCGAAAGCAUGGGGAGCGAACAGG